rnacentral:autocatalytically_spliced_intron from 1 species
GGGAGCCGUAUGCGAGGCCCGCACGUACGGUUCUAAGGGGGGAAAAACUCGGGAUUAGCUAUCCCGAG